rnacentral:lncRNA from 1 species
CCCAGCUUGGCUGUGAGCAAAAACUCCCAGGCCUUUGUGUCACCUCCAUAUAAUAUGACAAAUUUACCUGAGCUGCUAAUCUGUCUAAGAGUCUUUCACAGCAUCUGUUACAGAAUUGGACCUCGGAGUUUGAACAGACACUUCAGGAGCUGAGAGCGACCAUCAUUCAAGUAAAUUCUACCCGACUGGACCUGUCUUUGACGGAGGGAUUGUCGUCCUGGAUCACCUCAGCAGUCUCUUAUUUCAAGGAAUGGGUGGGAGUGGGACUUUUUGGAGUGAUCCUCUGCUGUGGAUUAGUGUUACUCCUCUGGUUGCUUUGCAAAUUGAGAUCUCAAACAAGAAAGGACAAAGUAGUGAUCGCCCAGGUGCUUGUAGCCCUUGAACAAGGAGCGUCAGCCGAUAUCUGGUUGACCAUGCUCAAGCAACAGGUCGCCGGCUGGACAGCUCUUGCACUCCUAGAACCUCGGUUCAUUGCACAGGAUUAGAGUGUCCGGCUUGAGCAGCCCAUGAGGGGUGACGAGCUUAGCAUCGCACAGGGAAGUUCUACCAAAUAUGCUCCCUGGAAGGCAUGUCAUAUUACAUGAGGGUUUCUGCCCCAGUUUUCCCUCCCUCGAAAAAUGGCAGUGCGACGGGUCGGGAGUGCCCUGGGUCCCAACAACAGCCUAAGGGUAUCUCUCUUGUACAGGUUCGCCAACUUCGUACGAGGAUAUGACCUCUGUCUUCACCCUCCUAUAUCUGGGUGUCCUGUUUGCUUAAAAA